AUUGAACGCUGGCGGCAGGCUUAACACAUGCAAGUCGAGCGGAUGAGAGGAGCUUGCUUCUCGAUUCAGCGGCGGACGGGUGAGUAAUGCCUAGGAAUCUGCCUGGUAGUGGGGGACAACGUUUCGAAAGGAACGCUAAUACCGCAUACGUCCUACGGGAGAAAGCAGGGGACCUUCGGGCCUUGCGCUAUCAGAUGAGCCUAGGUCGGAUUAGCUAGUUGGUGAGGUAAUGGCUCACCAAGGCGACGAUCCGUAACUGGUCUGAGAGGAUGAUCAGUCACACUGUAACUGAGACACGGUCCAGACUCCUACGGGAGGCAGGAGUGGGGAAUAUUGGACAAUGGGCGAAAGCCUGAUCCAGCCAUGCCGCGUGUGUGAAGAAGGUCGUCGGAUUGUAAAGCACUUUAAGUUGGGAGGAAGGGUUGUAGAUUAAUACUCUGCAAUUUUGACGUUACCGACAGAAUAAGCACCGGCUAACUCUGUGCCAGCCGCCGCUGUAAAAC
rnacentral:rRNA from 1 species